CCCCCAAAAAAAAAAAAAAGCUAACAAAGCGUUUGAAGAGCGAGCGCCAAGUGCGAACUCGGAGCUUCUCAGCUCGUCACAACAUCCGAUGGACAGCGGUCAAUGUCUGGAGCAAUGUGUGUGGAGAGAGGGAGAGAGCCAGAGAGAGAGAGGGGGCGCUCUUUGAAAGAGGGGAGAAAAAGUUCAGCAAUUAAAAGCCUAAUAAUGGAGCGUAAACACGCGAACUCCCCCCCACUCCCACCCCAACGGGACUGUUAACUCCCAUAUACUAACCAGCACAUGCACGCACGAAAAAAUGUUUUCUUAAAAAAAAUAAGGGACUUUCUUGUCAGCGUUUUGGCUCUAUUCAAAUGUAUUAUUUGUUGUGUCUGUCAGACGGUGUGUGAGUGCUGAGGGGUUGGGGGUUGUUGGUGGCGGCGAAAUCCAUUAUUCUGCCAAAUGAGAAGAGAAGGCACUGCCUAUUCUGGGAAUGGCCCUUCUACACAUACAAAAAAAAAAUCAGAUCAUGUAAGGAAUGAACAAUAGGGCUUCAGUUCAUCAGCAACAAAAGAAAAGGGGAAGUUAUUUGAUUUUCAGGCCACGUACCCGCCGGAGGGGGCUGGACAAUCUUUACCCUGGCCCCCCAAAAAAAACUUGCAGACAGUGCCGUCACUUUUUUUUUUACUUCUUGGGUUUGGGUGAAGUGAAGAAAAUGUUACGGGGGGAAAAAAAGUUAUUUUUUUUUCUUUAAAGGGUGGAAGUUGUCCUCUUUAUUUCAGUGCCCUUUCAAUCAGAAUAAUGUUAUGGAAGUAAGCACCUACUUUGAAUGAAAUUGAUGAGGAAUGGCAUUGGUUGCUUCUGGACCCAUGAAGAAGUCCAAACUUGCCAAGAGGAGCUUUCAGCUGCGGGGCUUUUGUGCACCGAGAUUUCAGCAAUGAACCUACUACGUUGAAGUUUACCUUCCAGCAGCCUGUAAAGAGUUAACCGGAUGCAUGUUCUGAAACAUAAUACCGAGGAAAACGCAUAGAAGAUAAAACUAGUAUCAUCUCUGUACUGCAAGAAUGACAGAACUGGCUGUUCAGAAUUAUUCCUGGAAUUAAAACAGCAUGUGGUCCGCUCUGCCAAUCUAAGACACUCAACAUGCCUGGAGUUUGGUUGCUUUGGCGAGAGAACACAGAAUUGCCUGUCCCUGUAAAGUGACAUCAUAAAUAAAACCUGAGCUUUAAAAUGCAGCAGAUUCUAGAACCAUAUUACACCUGGAGACAAUGUGAAAUGAAGUUGCAAUUUUAGGAUCAUAAUGGCAGUGAAACUGGGGCAGAACCCAAAGGAAUGAAAACGGUUCUAUUUAAGCUGUUCUUCUGACUUUAUGCUUGACUCUUCCAACACCUCAUUAAUCCAAGGAAACCGAAAAUGAAUUUCCAAUCUAUAAUCUUCACAUUUGAUUCAGGAAAGUCAAUGAAGUAACAUAUCUCAACAAUGGUGUCCAACAUGAUGAUAUACCAGCAAUAUUUUGUCAAUUAUUUCAACAAUGCUUGAUAUAAACUUUGUAAUUCGGCGGCGACCUGAAUUCGGGGCCCAGUGGACGACAUCGUCGGGAGCUCACAGGUCACAGGUUGGUGACCUGUUUUUCCGGAGC